GCCAUAGCAGAAUUGCUGACGCUCCACAGUAGAACAUCUGCUUUGCAUGCAGAAUGUCCCAGGUUCAAUCCCUGGUGUCUCCA